CACGUAGGGUGCGAGCGUUGUCCGGAAUUAUUGGGCGUAAAGAGCUCGUAGGCGGUGUGUCGCGUCGGCCGUGAAAACCUGCAGCUUAACUGUGGGCUUGCGGUCGAUACGGGCAUCACUGGAGUUCGGCAGGGGAGACUGGAAUUCCUGGUGUAGCGGUGAAAUGCGCAGAUAUCAGGAGGAACACCGGUGGCGAAGGCGGGUCUCUGGGCCGAUACUGACGCUGAGGAGCGAAGGCGUGGGGAGCGAACGGG
rnacentral:rRNA from 1 species